CAACAUGUGGGGAAACAUCUUCUUCCCCCAGGAACUCUCACGGGCCUCUACCAGUUCAUAUAACUCUUGUAGAGCUAAGGAAGACACUAUUAAAGACAUGGACCACAUCUUCUCCAAUGGUCAAACCAUUCUCUGUAGCACAUCUCCCUACCCUCCAUGGAGACAUCCUCACCCUCCUCCACUGCUCUAUCAGGAUCACUGCUACUGCUGCUUUCCCCUCAACUAUAUUUGCCAGGAAUUCUGUAGAGGAAGGCAGAGUGAAAACCAAGAGUGGGGAAGAUCUUCGAUGGGCUCACUUCUACACCUUCUGAGUGUGAAAUGCCAACAGAGCACUGAAAACCUCCCAAGUUCCCUAUCCAGAACUCCAGCCUAG
rnacentral:lncRNA from 1 species